GCUGCAUGAAGUGUAGUAUCACCCUCCAGCAAAACUCAUCUACAGCGUUCACCUGUUCAUCAUGAUGAAGCUGAUCCUUUCUCUGACUCUCAUCUGGACGCUCUCCAGCACAGCUGGAGCACUUCAGUGUCAAACUUGCAUAAAUCAGCAGUGUUUAAGCCCGGUAUCAUUUAAAUGUUUCACAGCGACAGAGUUGUGUAUAUCAGUUUCCAUUCAAGCCACUUUAUUUGGAACCCCAGCCCAGCAAACCUUAAAGGCUUGUGCACCGCCCUCCCUGUGUCCGGCCACAGGCUUUCAGAAUAUUUCAGCCAACUUGGGUUUUGUGAAUGGAGUUGCAUCUGUUCGGUGCUGCAACACGGAUAACUGCAACAUGAAACAACUCC